rnacentral:lncRNA from 1 species
AACAAUGUAAACUUUCUUUCAUAUGUAAUUUAGCUCAUAUAUAGCUUAUAAAAGGUCGUUUACCAAAAUUAAAGCUGAUUCUCGAUUUCUUUUCUUUCGAUUUGAGACCCAAAUAAAACCAAUGCAAAUAUAAGGUAAAAGUCUGAGUUAGCCUUUUCCUGCCAUUUUUUAAAAUCAAAAUAUCUUGAAAAGGAGCUCCAUAACCUAUUAAUAUUUUUAGCUUAUUUUGUUCCUAAACUAAUGCUCCUCCAACUUGAAGUAUCUAUUUUUAAUUUCUUGGUCUUUUUUUUAUUU